rnacentral:rRNA from 1 species
UACGUAGGCAGCAAGCGUUGUUCGGAAUUACUGGGCGUAAAGAGUGUGUAGGCGGCGCUCUAAGUUCGGUGUGAAAUCUCUCGGCUUAACUGGGAGGGUGCGCCGGAAACUGGAGUGCUCGAACGUGGGAGAGGAAAGCGGAAUUCCUGGUGUAGCGGUGAAAUGCGUAGAUAUCAGGAGGAACACCUGCGGUGUAGACGGCUUUCUGGACCAUUGUUGACGCUGAGACACGAAAGCGUGGGUAGCAAACAGG